AAUAAUCACUGAGUUGCUGCUUGAUUUUAGACAUACUGAUGGUAUGAGAAAACAUAAUAAGUGGGGUUGUCAUUCUGCCGAAUGGUACUAUAUCCUACAUUAUAAAUAUUAAUGCAAGCAUACCAUGAGCUGACCCUUCCUUUUUGCUGGACUAGGUGUAUGCCAUGAAUUUAGAGGUUUAGCAGGGGCUAUGCUGGUAUUCAUGAUUUAAAUGACAUUUAUGUAGGCCUGAACUUGGCAGAGUGAGGAUAGUAUGCACGUUACAGUGGAGUAACUCUGAGUAAACCAAAGCAAAGAGCACGGUCAGAAGAGCAGCUGUGCAAGCAUGGAGAGCUUUUCGACAGGAUUGUCGCUAGAUAGCACUACAAAAUUGAGAUCAUGGGCCUUUAUUCAUCUCGCCUGCGCGUUUCGGUGAUUCUACACUAGCUGAUAUUAUUGGAUUUGAUGUUCAGCCUUUUUCUGUUCUAUUGGUUGAUCAUGCCGGGGAGUCUUCUGCUACUCAUUCUUCUAUGGAUACGGAUACUUGGAAGCUCACAGUUCGUCUUGAAUUAAGCACAUGUUAUCAGUCUAUCACCGGAGUGAAUUAGUUUUUCCAACAUCAAUUGACAACUUAUGUACAACUGUUACUUGGUUGCUUGAUGCUAAAUCUGAUGCACGCUGGUGCCUCUACAUAUAAGUGUGAGGGCGUCAAUGCAAGCAACAUGGACGCUGAUGCGGGCGAACACAGCGGAGAUAAGGCACAAGAGCUUUCCAGUGAAUCUAAGAUCACGGGCAGGUAGUGUAUCAUGAUGGAGGCUAUUCGAUGAAUACCGCCAUAGGAACACCGCUCUUGCUGCUGGCGCCACCACUGCGUCCAGCUCUACAUAGGAUGGUACUAGGUUCUCUGUCUCCAGGGCCAGAGCACCUUUGCACCAAUUAGGUUCAAAUUCAUUUUGACUGUUUAUGUAAAGGACUUUUCUCUCCGUCUCAAAUAUCACUUACAUUUUAGAAAUUGGUUGCUCAUACUGUAGUAAGAGGUGAAGAAUCACUAUGCUGAAUUGUGGCUUCAGAAGAUGUAUAUGUCGGCA